ensembl:snRNA U6 U6 spliceosomal RNA
ACAACAACCAAAGGUGCUCAUAUAGGAAGUGGAACAAUACAGGGAAGAUCACGGUGGCCUGUGUGCAAGGAUGAUGUGCAAACUCGUGAAGCAUUUCAUAUUUUU